UUGUUCAGCCCUUCAGCUCCCAAAGCCCACACAGUGUUGUGGAAGUUAGGGGUUUGGUUGGGGUCGAGGAGAGGUUCUUUUUUCUUGUUUUCUUUUUUGGUGAAUGUUAGAAGAAUCUAGCUAGAAGACAAGGGCUCCCAGCUGGGGAGAGCUAGUCCAGUUGAAGAACUGGCUGGGUUGGCCGAUCCAGCUGUCCAAGUACGAAGCUAAGUGCUUGAAAGAGGAUUGUUGCUGCACUAGAAUAAACAUGGCCUGCCCCCAUCCCCAAUGACUACUUGCCCAGAUUGGAGACUGCUUCAGGGAUGCUCCAGUCCUUGAUGCAUGUUCUAAAUGUCAUCGCUGUGCCAGAUUUGGGGUCUUAUGGUGCCAAACCUUGGCAAUGAAGCCACAGUUCAGUUGGUGCAAGGAAUUCUGGGAUGUCUGAAAGUGACAUGAGUGGAAGGACUCACGUCCCAUCUCUCUUUAAUGCCCUAUUGUCCCGAAAACUGGCCCUACAAGUCAGCUACUUGAAAAGUAAAGAAAAAGGAUAUGGAAAACUAAGCAGUGAUGAAGACAUCGAAGUAAUUGUUGAUCAAAACCAGGGGAAAAGCUCUAGGGCAGCCGAUAAGGCUGUUGCCAUGGUGAUGAAGGAGAUACCGAGGGAGGAGUCUGCUGAAGAAAAGCCCCUCCUUACUAUGACAUCACAGCUGGUGAAUGAGCAGCAAGAAAGCAGACCCCUCCUAAGCCCUUCCAUCGAUGACUUUCUCUGUGAAACCAAAGCAGAAGCAAUUGCCAGGCCAGUAACAUCAAAUACAGCAGUAUUAUCAACAGGUUUAGAUCUCUUGGACCUGAGUGAUCCUGUGUCCCAAACCCAAAACAAAACAAAGAAGCUAGAGGCUACGCCAAAGGCCUCGAGCCACAAGAAGAAGGCUGAUGGUUCUGACCUUAUCAGCGCUGAUGCGGAACAGAGAGGCCAGCCUCUGAGAAUCCCAGAGACAUCAUCGUUAGAUUUAGUAGAUAUUCAAACACAACUGGAUAAAUGGGAUGAAGUUAAGUUUCAUGGAGACAGGAACAGCAAGGGCCAUGCCAUGGCAGAGAGCAAGUCAACAUCAUCCAGGACUGGAUCAAAAGAACUUUUAUGGUCUUCGGAGAGUAGAUCUCAGCCAGAAUUGACUAGCGGAAAAAGUGCCCUCAAUUCUGACUCAGCUCCAGAUUUAGACUUAGUGCCUCCAGCACAGGCUCGACUCACCAAAGAACAGCGCUGGGGAAGUGCACUACUCUCCAGAAACCAUUCCUUAGAAGAGGAAUUUGAGAGGGCAAAAGCAGCAGUGGAGUCAGAUACAGAGUUUUGGGAUAAGAUGCAAGCAGAAUGGGAAGAAAUGGCUCGAAGGAACUGGAUAUCUGAGAACCAAGAAGCCCAAAAUCAAGUGACAAUUUCAGCUAGUGAGAAGGGGUACUACUUUCACACAGAAAAUCCCUUCAAAGACUGGCCUGGAGCUUUUGAAGAAGGAUUGAAAAGGCUGAAGGAAGGGGACUUGCCUGUCACUAUACUGUUCAUGGAGGCAGCAAUUCUUCAAGACCCUGGGGAUGCUGAGGCCUGGCAGUUUCUGGGUGUAACCCAGGCAGAGAAUGAAAAUGAGCAAGCUGCUAUCGUCGCCCUCCAAAGAUGCUUAGAAUUACAGCCCAACAACCUGAAGGCUCUAAUGGCUUUGGCUGUGAGUUACACCAACACUGGCCAUCAACAAGAUGCUUGCAGCGCUCUGAAGAACUGGAUUAAACAAAAUCCUAAAUAUAAAUAUUUAGUGAAGAACAAAAAGGCAUCUCCAGGCCCAACCCGAAGGAUGUCCAAGUCACCAGUUGAUAGUUCAGUCCUGGAAGGAGUUAAGGAGCUGUACCUGGAGGCUGCCCACCAGAAUGGAGAGAUGAUCGACCCUGACCUGCAGACCGGCCUGGGGGUGCUAUUCCACUUGAGUGGAGAAUUCAGUAGAGCAAUAGAUGCAUUUAAUGCUGCCUUAACAGUUCGGCCAGAGGACUAUUCAUUAUGGAACCGUCUUGGUGCCACAUUGGCCAAUGGAGACCGCAGUGAGGAAGCCGUUGAAGCCUAUACCCGAGCUCUAGAAAUCCAGCCUGGCUUCAUCCGGUCCAGAUACAACCUGGGAAUCAGCUGCAUCAACCUGGGGGCUUACAGGGAGGCAGUCAGCAAUUUCCUCACUGCCCUGAGUUUGCAAAGAAAGAGUAGGAACCAACAACAAGUUCCUCAUCCAGCUAUUUCUGGCAAUAUCUGGGCUGCCCUCAGGAUUGCUCUCUCCAUGAUGGACCAGCCAGAGCUAUUCCAGGCAGCUAACCUUGGGGACUUGGAUGUUCUACUAAGAGCUUUCAACCUGGAUCCAUGAGGCAGAGAUGAUCCCGCCACCCACCCAGGCCACUGGAAAAAAAAUAACGAAAAGGUCAUGCAAAUUGCAAAAACUAUUUUAUUAUGAAUUUCAAAAGGAGAAAUCAGAUGUCCAAAAGACCACAGACAUGCAACCCAAGGGGACCCCUCCCAACGCUGCCCAAUUUCUGUCCGAGUUCAAAAGCACAAAACAUUGUACAUAGUAUCAAGUUUGGAUUCAAAACAAGGCUAGAAAGAAAGGAGACCAAUUGAGAAGAAAAUGAACAGUAGAUGAACAGUGGCUUUCACACACAAAGAGUGUGUCAUAAGACAGAGAUGCCAGCUUUAAGGCAGCUGACCAUUUGUCCAAGGGCCUAUCCCUUUAAGUGAUCAGACCCAUAGAGAAGAAAGCCCUGCAUUGGACCAUGGAAUACAGACUCGGUCUCUUGCUGGGUUUCCCACAAUCCCUCUUCCCUAGGACACAAUCCAGCUCAGACCACAGGGCAUGUACACUGUGUGGGUUGGCCUGGUGGGAAAGCUGGGCAGCAUUCUCUAGGAUUGGUUUCCUUUGGAGCAUUCACAGUUGCUGUUUGAUUUCAGAGAGUUGGCUUUGCAGGCAAAAGCAAGCUUUCUGUAUUAAGCUUUUUUUCUUUUCUGCUCCUAGCCCUGAUUGAGGCAGGAGCAGGAGGGUGGGAUGGGGGAGGGGGGAGUAAAACUGUACAUAUGCACUUUAAUAUCUUAUCAUUUAUGCCUUGAGAGGCUCUUGGGUUGUUUCUCCACUUUUAAACCUGAGAGUGAAAGGUUGCAGAACACAGCCACGGUUGUUCACUCAGUGGACCAAAUAUUCAUUUUUGACAAUUGUUCCCAUGGUAUAGGGUUUGACAAAGAAUUUUUCUUAAAGCAGACAUAAAAGGCUGAAGGCUUUCUUAUUGAGGUAAUUUCAAAACAUACACAACCCAGAUGUACAGAGCUUUAUUCCUUCAAGUACCUUUGACUGACUGGGGCAUGGCUCUGGGGAGCAAGGGGCUGGUUUGCUAGUGCUGAACUCAUGAUUGUUCUUUUGUUGUGUCUUUAUUUUUGGAGGGGUGGGGUAAGUGUUGGUGCAAUUCUGUACAAGAAUUCCCUGGUGAGGGAUCUCCUUUCACCAACGCAGGUGGGCAAAUGCUCUGCAUCUUAGAAUCUUAGAUAGUUACCUGGGAGGUGCUUGGAGGUUAAAUGACUUGCACAGAGUUACACAGCCAGUAUGAAUCAGUGACUGAACUUGAACCCAAGUCUUCCUGACUCCAAGUCUGGCUCUCUGUUCAUUAUGCUAUUCUAUUUCUCAUAAUGUUGCAUCUAAAUGGCAUCACUGAUCUCCUUUGCUUCCCUGAAUAUCAAUGGUCAUUUUUAACUAUUAGUAUUUUCAAUGACAUAGCCUCGAUAAAUACAUUUCUUAAAACUAAAACUAAGAGAAUUGGUUCGCUUCCACCCUGCUGGUGCUGCUCCCUGCCCCCACAGUGCAUUCUGAAAUUGAGUGAGGUGCCAGCUUGUCUACACAGCUCACAGACUUCUCCAGCCAAAUCGGCAGAUAAACUUGAACAUUCAUCCCUUGACUUUGGCCCGGAUUUUGGCAAGUUGCCCAAGUAUCGAAAGUGUCCCUGAGACUUCUCGUUUACUGUGGAGAGGUUUCAUUUAAUUACUAACCACUGUGGUUCCAUGAUCAUGGAAUGCAUUCAGCUCCCUAAAGUCUGGUUGGAUUCAAUUGGUUGCUUAAUUGGUUGGUUGGAGUUUUUUGUUUUGUUUUAUGAAAAGUCAGAAGAAAUUUGGGAGGGAAUGUUCUAGAAAAACAUGCCUUCAUGUUUCCCACAGGUUUAUUUGUUUCUUCCUCUGGCCCUGGCUUCACACUACUGCCACCACCCACCCCCCAAAAAAACAAAACUAUAGUAGCUUUUUCCUUAUUUGUUCUGUCAAAUUCAGCUCAUGGUUAUCAAAUCACACCAAAAGGAGCUACUUAAAACAAUUCAAGAAAUCCACAGUAUGAGGUUCAUGGGACCAUUUUGUUUCAUCACCCCAUUUUACAUAUGAAGAAACUGGGGCUAAGAGAGAAGAAGCGAUUCACCCAGGUUCAAAUAGUAGUAAAGAGCAGGGCCGGGGUUCAAACCCAAGUCUUCCAAUACCAAAUACAGCAUACAGAAAUAAAAAGAGCUGCAUGCCCCAGUCCCAGGUAGCAAGCCUCUCUAACUGUUGCAUAUUGCCUUAGGUUGGGUGAAUGGUUGAGAAGAAAAAAAGGAUUUAAUGUGAAUACGAAACACCAGAUCAUGGGAUCAUAGCUAUAAAGAUGGAAGAGGAUUUAAAAGUCAUCUAAUCCAACCACUUCAUUCUAAGAUAAGGCCCAGAGAAAUUAAAUUACUUGUCCAAGGUCACACUGAUUAUAAGUGACCAGAGCUGUGAUUUGAACCCAGGUCCCCCGACUCCAAAUUCAUCACUCUUUUCACUGCUCAUGGCAGACGUGAAACAAUCUCAUAUAUUUUUUGAAUGGGAAUUAAGUGGAGAGUGAGGAUGAGAGGAAAGGCAGUUUACCAGUUCUUACACACUGAUAAAUGUGGUCCCAAAAGCCCCUACCAGCUUAAAAUCUAUGGAACCUUUUCUGGAAAUUGACGUACAUUUUUCUAAAGGUAAAAUAUGGAAGCCAGCAAACUAGUCAAGGGCACCGUCACCUGGAAGGAAGCAAUUUGUGAUUUCAGACUUGACUACAACAUGCAGAACCAUGUGUGAUGUCAGGCCAGUGACAUAGAUCACUUCUGUUGCACCUGAAAGGAAGGCAAAAUCUUGUCGACCACGGAACUCUUUUAAGACUAUGAACAAUUCUUUCCAUCCUGUUGGACUCCUUUCAUAAAGGCCCAUUGGCGAUACCUGAAUUUCCUUAAGGCAUGGCAGCAUCUGAACCAUGCUUUACUGGGAGCACAUCCACUUAGCUGAUUUUGCACAGUUUUGUCUUCCUUUAUGGAAGGGGAAAAUCUCAUCCUGCUUCAUGCUGCCCUGUUUGGCCAAUGGGGUCAAAUAGAUUUCCUUGCAUCCCCACCCUAACCAAUGAGAUUGGACUAUAAUCCUGGCUGGCCCUGCCCCAGCUAGGAGGAAUGGACACAGUAUCUAGCCUCAGCUUGACUGCUUCUUUGGGAAUAGCAGAGUCAAAGUAGAUUUCACCUUUCUCCUCCCCUAUUAAUUGCAUAUCCCCUCCCUUUGUGGUCAGCACCAUGGGACCAGAUGGAAUUCUGUGUAAGUUGUUCUUUUUUUGUUUUCCUCCUACUUGGCAUAUAUCAUAAUGAUUCUAGAGAUUUUUGGAAAACAGGGUACUCUGAAUGCUGGGUGGGCUCAUGUCCACUUGCUUAGAAGGCCUUUCAUUUCCUAAACCAUAACAUAAAUGUGCAAGCAUGCACAUAGACAUCUACAUACAAUUUCGACUUUGUAAAAUAUUUUCAAUUCCAUCCCCUUGUCCUAAAUUUACUAUGAUACAGUUUCCCUGUCAUCACAGUAUUUAUACUCCAGCUAAAAUGAGACUAACAUUUUGAACUAAUAAAUCUAUAUAAUCUAUAUUUUUAAAGAAUGUUCGUAGAUGGACUAUGACAUAAGGUUUCUAACAAAAGGAAUUUUUGACAAUAAAGCAUAUAACCUCAGGUACCAAAAUAUUGCAUGCAUUAGUAUUUGCACACCAACCUACUCGCAUAUUAACCAAAGCAUGCAAGGUAACUUAACUGAGCUGAAUGUAAAUUUACAAAGUGCAUGAUGUCAAUUUCUAGGUUAGUUCAUUUUUUUCACCUCACUCCUAAACCAGGUCAUUAGGAGACAUUGGCAUAAGCACCGUGUCAUCUCUUACACGUUUGCUUUCCAUGUAAGAAUACCCUUGGGAGGGUUUCACAAUGGUCCACUCACACUGGCCUACAUGGGUCACUGUGUCACAUCUGGUUUCUCAGUGUUGCAGCUAGGGCCAGUCAGGUUCUCGAGGGGUUUAGACAUGUAUAGACCUCUGGCAAUGGCCUCUAGACACAUCAGAAAUCAAACCAGAAUCUCUGAUGAAUUUGAAUGCUACCAGAUACCCAACCUCACUGGCAGCCACAGUCCAGAAUUCUCCAGGCCUGGAACAUCUGAGUCCAUUUCCACUUCUGAGAGGUUAUGUACUGUUAGAAUGGUAUUCUCAGGGUCUUCCUGAGUAAUGUAAUUCCUCACCAGGUGGAGAGGUUGGGGCUUGGGGACCACAGAUGAAAAUUGUCACCAGAUAAUGAGGACUUCUCAUUUCUAUGACAUCUUCCAGAUGGAUUAUAGGGGCUGUCCCACCAUCUACUGUUCCCUGGAUUUGGUUGUUAUAGAGACUGGCUUCUUAGACUCAUGCUCAUAUAAGAAAUAUUGUAUAUGUCAAGUGCUCUGCCAACCUUUAUGCAUUCUAGAAAUGUUAGCUCAUAUUAACUGUGUCUAUGAGCCCCUGGUGACUGGCCUUUUUUCAGAAUGUCUGAAAACAGUGAAUUCCAGAAGAGACAAGGAGAAUUGAGCCUUCUCUUCCCCACCACUGUUCAUCAUGUUAAUUCCUAUCUGUUUCACAUAUAAAGCACCACCAAGUGUACCCUCUGCAUGAAGGAACAAGCUAUUUACCAGCUACCAAAUAGAUACAGUAAUGCCCAGUGCAAGGGAACUCAAGGAUUUAAACAUUGAUUAUAACCUUACAAGUGUCCCACCACCAAACAUGUUUUCUCCUCCCAAUUAAGGAUUAAAAGUUAAAAAAACUAUUUUUUAAGUUGUCCGUGAUGGGAUUAAAUCUAUUUAAUCAAAAAUUAAGAUACAAAAUUCAGAAAAGAACAGGAGGUACAUAGCCAAUGAUCUUUUGGUGUUUUGCCUUAAACAAAGCUUUCGGUAUCUUCUUGAUGUAACAUAAUAUGGGAAGAAACAUCUGAAAGAAAAGUGCUUGUGCCCCAAUAGAUCAUAAGCUCUUUGAGGACAGGAUCUGUUUUUCAUUUUUUUUGUCUUUCUGCCCCUGGUGCCUAGCAUAGUGCCUGGCACAGUGCUUAAUAAAUGCUUGUCGAAUUGAAUUGUCAUUAGGACUAUUUCCUAGGGAGCUUCUUCAAGAGACAAAGCAACCGACUUGGCUUUUAGUCCAUGUCUCAGAAAGAAUCUGGAAGUCUCAGUAGAUCACCACACAAAUCUGCACACAAAAUUGCAUCACAAAUAUAAAGAAAUAGUUGGCUGAGAAAGAUCGAUGCCUAUAUAAUAAAACAUGAAUUUUUCUCCCUUCCCUUUGACUUUCUUCAGUGGGAUGAAUGCACAAUGAAGAGAAAACAUAGGGGAUAUACAUACUCACCUUGUCAUUUUGGGAAUUGGAGCCAGGGAGCACAUAUCCCUAAGAUCUCACAUGUUCUCUGAAUGGGUAACCUUGUGGUUCUGUAUUGUAUGAGAAUACCAGAGAGUGGAAACAGGACUCUAAGAAUGGCCAGAAAACACAAAGAACCAAAAGGGUCCUUGAUUUCCUUCCGCUUAUCUCCCUUGUCCUUAAGACCCCAAAACUCUUCAUUCUCCAUCACCAGAAUUUGUUUACAUUGGUUGGGAGGGGGGGUGGAAAACCAAUUGUCCAAUUUAGGCACCUUUUUACUACCUAUAACAAGCAUUUAUUACACAUUUAGAAAGAACAAGAUAUUUCUAAUAUAUUUUGUAUAUCUAUCAAUAUUGCCUCUCUAGACUAAUCAACAAAUAUCUAGUUUUGAAAGACAUGCUGCUGCCUCUGCUGCUUCUCCCUCAUGCUCAAGAACGUGGGAACAUACUUCUUGUACCAGCUUUGGGCUCUGGUUUUAUGCCCACACAUAUAGCAAAGGAAAAAGUGACAUCUAAUUGUUUACAUUCAGUUUCUAACAUGAAUAUGGACCCCAAAUUAGGGAUCUCUAAGUCAACUUAAGAAAUAUGGAGGGCUAAAGGCAACUCCUUCUUCAUCCUAGGUGAUCCUGCAUCUGUAUAUUUCAUGCAAUAUUAAUUAUAUAGAUGAGCCCAGAUCUGUGGCAAGUGAAUACCACUCUUUAAGAUACAAUUACUCACAAGAAAAAUGACCUGUUUCUCUAUGUGUCUCAUUUACUCAUUUGCAAAGCACUAAUGCUCAUGUAGUAUUUUUGUACUAUUAUCAGAGGCAUGCCUUCCUCUUCUUUUUUUCAACAUUAUUAAAUGGUAUUUAUAUCUGUGUGAUUUUUAAGUAUGUUUUCAAAUAAACUUUAUCUGUGGCUUCAA